GCUUUAACUUCUAUUGUCUUAAACUUUUGUCCUGAGUUGAAAUGCAGUCAUCUGUGUCCAAAGAGGAAAUUACAUUAAGAAGCAUCUGUCCAGAGGCCAAUGCAACGGAUGGGCAAUGGGUACAACUCCUACAUGAAGAGUGGCAGAAGCCUUACAAUCCAGCAAGGAUUAUUAAUAGAUGAUUCAAAGGAGAUACAAAAAAAUCUAUUUGAUCACCACAAGUACAUUUCAGAAUUGGGUUUCCAGCUCAAAACAAGGAGCAAUGGUGUCCUGUUAUUGUGCAGCUCAUCACUGAUGACUAAAUGGCAAGUUACUGAAAAUAGCCAUCAUUGUACUCCCUUUACAGCAAGCCUUUGCUUUGAAUGUCAUCUAACAUUCCUA